GGCCUAACACAUGCAAGUCGAACGGUAACAGGAAGAAGCUUGCUUCUUUGCUGACGAGUGGCGGACGGGUGAGUAAUGUCUGGGAAACUGCCUGAUGGAGGGGGAUAACUACUGGAAACGGUAGCUAAUACCGCAUAACGUCGCAAGACCAAAGAGGGGGACCUUCGGGCCUCUUGCCAUCAGAUGUGCCCAGAUGGGAUUAGCUAGUAGGUGGGGUAACGGCUCACCUAGGCGACGAUCCCUAGCUGGUCUGAGAGGAUGACCAGCCACACUGGAACUGAGACACGGUCCAGACUCCUACGGGAGGCAGCAGUGGGGAAUAUUGCACAAUGGGCGCAAGCCUGAUGCAGCCAUGCCGCGUGUAUGAAGAAGGCCUUCGGGUUGUAAAGUACUUUCAGCGGGGAGGAAGGGAGUAAAGUUAAUACCUUUGCUCAUUGACGUUACCCGCAGAAGAAGCACCGGCUAACUCCGUGCCAGCAGCCGCGGUAAUACGGAGGGUGCAAGCGUUAAUCGGAAUUACUGGGCGUAAAGCGCACGCAGGCGGUUUGUUAAGUCAGAUGUGAAAUCCCCGGGCUCAACCUGGGAACUGCAUCUGAUACUGGCAAGCUUGAGUCUCGUAGAGGGGGGUAGAAUUCCAGGUGUAGCGGUGAAAUGCGUAGAGAUCUGGAGGAAUACCGGUGGCGAAGGCGGCCCCCUGGACGAAGACUGACGC
rnacentral:rRNA from 1 species